GAUGAAGAACGUAGCGAAAUGCGAUAAGUAAUGCGAAUUGCAGAAUCCGUGAGUCAUCGAAUCUUUGAACGCACAUUGCGCCCUCUGGUAUUCCGAAGGGCAUGCCUGUUCGAGCGUCAUUAUCACCCCUCAAGCCCGGCUUGUUGUUGGAUGCAGCGCUUAUCCCGCUCCUCCCAAAGAUAAUGACGGCGUCUGCGACGACUCCUGUACACUGAGCUUUCGGGCACGUACACGGCUAGAAGUCCAGACCCGGUCGCCGUCCCCCCCGCGGGGACACCCAUUACCACAAGGUUGACCUCGGAUCAGGUAGGAAUACCCGCUGAACUUAAGCAUAUCAAUAAGCGGAGGA
rnacentral:misc_RNA from 1 species